UACCAGCACCCCGAGUGGUCGGGACGAUUAUUGGGCCUAAAGCAUCCGUAGCCGGUUUUACAAGUCCUCCGUUAAAUCCAGCUGCUUAACAGAUGGGCUGCGGAGGAUACUAUAAGACUAGGAGGCAGGAGAGGCAAGCGGUACUCAGUGGGGUAGGGGGUAAAAAUCCGUUGAUCCAUUGAAGACCACCAGUGGCGAAGGCGGCUUGCCAGAAUGCGCUCGACGGUGAGGGAUGAAAGCUGGGGGAGCAAACCGG
rnacentral:rRNA from 1 species